rnacentral:tRNA from 1 species
GUUCCGCUAACUCAGUGGCCAGAGUGUCUCCCUGUCAGGGCGAACAGGCCCCAGGAAGCCAGGGGUUCGACUCCCCUGCGGAACGCCA